AACGAACGCUGGCGGUAGGCUUAACACAUGCAAGUCGAACGCCCCGCAAGGGGAGUGGCAGACGGGUGAGUAACGCGUGGGAACAUACCCUUUCCUGCGGAAUAGCUCCGGGAAACUGGAAUUAAUACCGCAUACGCCUACGGGGAAGGAUUAUCGGGAAGGAUUGGCCGCGUUGGAUUAGCUAGUUGGUGGGGUAAAGGCCUACCAAGGCGACGAUCCAUAGCUGGUCUGAGAGGAUGAUCAGCCACAUUGGGACUGAGACACGGCCCAA
rnacentral:rRNA from 1 species